GCGCCGAAGUUGGGUUGGGAGAUGAGCGAUUUGAGCUCGAGCUUGAGAUGGUGGAAGCGGGUGGGAUGCUGCGAUUCCAGCAUCUCCAGCUCCUCCUUCGCCCUCUCCACCAACCACGACUCGUACGCCAUCAUGAGGCAAGUAGAGGAGGAGACCGCAGGGAAUUGCUGUCAUAUCACACCUGGUUGGAAUUGGAGUGAACGCUUCGGGCUCUGCGGCGUGACAACCAUCCAACACCAUUGUGUUCCACUUUCUUAUACUACGAGUGAUGGACGAAAUCAAUAGAAUAUUAUGCCUUCUUUGCUGCAAAAACAUUUGCUCAAGAAGGGAAAUCUAUAGAAUAUCAUUCUUUCCUUCAGAAUAAUAUGAACUUGUAAAUGAAAGUUGAGAAGAAGGUCUCAGAAAUA